UACAGAGGUCUCAAGCGUUGUUCGGAUUCAUUGGGCGUAAAGGGUGCGUAGGCGGCGCGGUAAGUCGGGUGUGAAAUCUCCGGGGCUUAACUCCGAAACUGCAUUCGAUACUGCCGUGCUUGAGGACUGGAGAGGAGACUGGAAUUUACGGUGUAGCGGUGAAAUGCGUAGAUAUCGUAAGGAAGACCAGUGGCGAAGGCGGGUCGUCUGGACAGUUCCUGACGCUGAGGCACGAAAGGUCAGGGGGGGAGCAAAACGGGG
rnacentral:rRNA from 1 species